AGAGUUUGAUCAUGGCUCAGGACGAACGCUGGCGGCGUGCCUAACACAUGCAAGUCGAACGAGAAUUCACGAAAAGAUUUCUUCGGAAUGAAUUUUGUGAAGGAAAGUGGCGGACGGGCGAGUAACGCGUGAAUAACCUGCCCAUAAGAGGGGGAUAAUCCAUGGAAACGUGGACUAAUACCGCAUAUUGAAUAUUAAUCGCAUGAUUGAUAUUUGAAAGAUUUAUCGCUUAUGGAUGGAUUCGCGUCUGAUUAGCUAGUUGGUGAGGUAACGGCUCACCAAGGCGACGAUCAGUAGCCGAACUGAGAGGUUGAUCGGCCGCAUUGGGACUGAGACACGGCCCAGACUCCUACGGGAGGCAGCAGUGGGGAAUAUUGCGCAAUGGGGGCAACCCUGACGCAGCAACGCCGCGUGCGGGAAGAAGGUCUUCGGAUUGUAAACCGUUGUCGCAAGGGAAGAAGACAGUGACGGUACCUUGUGAGAAAGCCACGGCUAACUACGUGCCAGCAGCCGCGGUAAUACGUAGGUGGCAAGCGUUGUCCGGAUUUACUGGGUGUAAAGGGCGCGUAGGCGGGAUUACAAGUCAGUCGUGAAAUACCGAGGCUCAACCUCGGGGCUGCGAUUGAAACUGUAGUUCUUGAGUAUCGGAGAGGAAAGCGGAAUUCCUAGUGUAGCGGUGAAAUGCGUAGAUAUCACGAAGAACUCCGAUUGCGAAGGCAGCUGACAAGGCUACAACUGACGCUAAAGCUCGAAAGUGCGGGUAUCGAACAGGAUUAGAUACCCUGGUAGUCCGCACGGUAAACGAUGGAUGCCCGGUGUUUGCGAUAUACAGUGAGCGCCCAAGCGAAAGCGUUAAGCAUCCCACCUGGGGAGUACGCCGGCAACGGUGAAACUCAAAGGAAUUGACGGGGGCCCGCACAAGCGGAGGAACAUGUGGUUUAAUUCGAUGAUACGCGAGGAACCUUACCCGGGCUUGAACUGUAGGCGAACGAUCCAGAGAUGGUGAGGCCCUUCGGGGCGCCUAUGGAGGUGCUGCAUGGUUGUCGUCAGCUCGUGCCGUGAGGUGUCGGCUUAAGUGCCAUAACGAGCGCAACCCCUCUCUUCAGUUGCCAUCAGGUUAUGCUGGGCACUCUGGAGACACUGCCACCGUAAGGUGUGAGGAAGGUGGGGAUGACGUCAAAUCAGCACGGCCCUUACGUCCGGGGCUACACACGUGUUACAAUGGGUGGUACAGAGAGUUGGGUGUACGCAAGUGCAUUCUAAUCAAGAAAGCCAUCCUCAGUUCGGACUGGGGUCUGCAACCCGACCCCACGAAGCUGGAUUCGCUAGUAAUCGCGCAUCAGCCAUGGCGCGGUGAAUACGUUCCCGGGCCUUGCACACACCGCCCGU
rnacentral:rRNA from 1 species